AGGGAAUAUUGGACAAUGGGCGCAAGCCUGAUCCAGCCAUGCCGCGUGAGUGAAGAAGGCCCUCGGGUUGUAAAGCUCUUUUGUCCGGAAAGAAAAGCAUCGGGUUAAUACCCCGGUGUUCUGACGGUACCGGAAGAAUAAGCACCGGCUAACUUCGUGCCAGCAGCCGCGGUAAUACGAAGGGUGCAAGCGUUACUCGGAAUUACUGGGCGUAAAGCGUGCGUAGGUGGUUCGUUAAGUCUGAUGUGAAAGCCCUGGGCUUAACCUGGGAAUGGCAUUGGAAACUGGCGGACUGGAGUGCGGUAGAGGGUAGCGGAAUUCCCGGUGUAGCAGUGAAAUGCGUAGAGAUCGGGAGGAACAUCCGUGGCGAAGGCGGUUACCUGGACCAGCACUGACACUGAGGCACGAAAGCGUGGGGAGCAAACA
rnacentral:rRNA from 1 species